GACGAACGCUGGCGGCGUGCUUAACACAUGCAAGUCGAACGGUAAGGCCCUUUCGGGGGUACACGAGUGGCGAACGGGUGAGUAACACGUGGGUAAUCUGCCCUGCACUCUGGGAUAAGCCUGGGAAACUGGGUCUAAUACCGGAUAUGAGCUUCCAUCGCAUGGUGGGGGUUGGAAAGUUUUUUCGGUGCAGGAUGUGCCCGCGGCCUAUCAGCUUGUUGGUGGGGUAAUGGCCUACCAAGGCAACGAUCUCUAGCUGGUCUGAGAGGACGAUCAGCCACACUGGGACUGAGACACGGCCCAGACUCCUACGGGAGGCAGCAGUGGGGAAUAUUGGACAAUGGGCGAAAGCCUGAUCCAGCAAUGCCGCGUGUGUGAAGAAGGCCUGAGGGUUGUAAAGCACUUUCAAUCGUGAAGAAAAGUUGCAGGCUAAUACCCUGUGACCUUGACGUUAACGAUACAAGAAGCACCGGCUAACUCCGUGCCAGCAGCCG
rnacentral:rRNA from 1 species